CAGGAACUUGCCAGAGAUGGCUUGGUGCUCGAAAGAGAGCCUGGACACAGGUGCUGCAUGGCCGUCGUCAGCUCGUGUCGUGAGAUGUUGGGUUAAGUCCCGCAACGAGCGCAACCCUUGUCAUUAGUUGCUACGAAAGGGCACUCUAAUGAGACUGCCGGUGACAAACCGGAGGAAGGUGGGGAUGACGUCAGGUCCUCAUGGCCCUUAUGGGUAGGGCUACACACGUCAUACAAUGGCCGGUACAGAGGGCUGCCAACCCGCGAGGGGGAGCCAAUCCCAGAAAACCGGUCGUAGUCCGGAUCGUAGUCUGCAACUCGACUGCGUGAAGUCGGAAUCGCUAGUAAUCGCGGAUCAGCUUGCCGCGGUGAAUACGUUCCCGGGUCUUGUACACACCGCCCGUCACACCAUGGGGGC
rnacentral:rRNA from 1 species